CAUCAUCAUCAUCCUCAUCCUCAUCCUCAUCCUCAUCGUCAUCAUCGUCAUCAUCAUCGCCAUCGUUGUCGAUGCCUCUACAGCCGUAAUUGUUUUCCUAAACAAAAUUUUUAUAAUCAGUAUCAAUAUUCUUGCUCGAGUAAUUGCACAUUAAUUAAUAGAAACAGAAUUUACGCCAUGAAACCGCGACAAAACUUUCGGCAGUUUUUACAAAAAUUGCUAGGGACACUAGCAUUUGUAAAUCUUCUUGUAAAGAAAUUUCUGUGUUUUUGUAACUAUACAAUCUUCGUAAUACAAUUUAGUGUAUGAAAGGAUACAAAUUUUUAAAAAAGAUGAUUCCUUCCUUAUUCCGGUGCCCCUUUUUGUAGAAGAAAUACUUAUAAUAUCACAAACCUUAUUUUACAUCAUGGAAAGGCAGUCAAUUUUGAAAAAAAACCGCGUUAAAUGAUAGACGUUCGAAGAUAAUUAUGAAUGGUAUGCAUUAAGUUCAAAUUUUUCACCUGUAACUGUGAUUUUUUAAAACCAUACGAUAAAAUAGAUGACGUUAACAAAUCAGAAUGAUAUCAUUGUUAUACUAUAUCAUAUUUGUCAAGAAAUUAUGUAGUAUGUCGAUACUUUGAUCUGUACAAAUAAGAAGACCUUCCAAAAUGAAUUCUUCACGAGUAGCAGAAAUUUUGUAUGAUAAUUGAAACUACGUAAAAUGUUUUGAUAAUUUUAAGUGCAGAUACGUGAGCAAAAUUAUAGUAUGAAUGUGUGUUUGCAUUUUGCGCCAAGAAGAAAAUACAAAAGGACACGGAGGGGGGGAGGGUGAAAACAAGGUCGCGCGCGCAUGUAUGAGUAUGCGUGUAAAAGAGUGGUAGGAGUGGUAUAUUUUUUGAAAUUGCAUUAAAUUGAAUAUUAUAUUUUUAUUUUGUAAAUGUAUUCGAUAUAAUACGAAUUUUCGUCAAAGCGGUUGCUUGAUAUAUACGAUCAAUUAGAACUACGAAUAUUGCAACACGUAGUUUAUGUUACAGAAGUCUUCUUAAACGGUAUAACAACCUUUAUUUUGAAAGAUAAAGUAUUGUGAAAAUAGCAGUGAACUGAAAAUGAUAUGAUUAAAGUUAACAAUAAGGGAAGUAGCUGUUAAUGUUAUUAAUUGUAUAGUUCUUAAUAGCAAAGGGUAUGUGUGUGAAUUCCUGCGAUUCAGGACACCGGCGAUGAUGAUACGACGAUGUGAUACAUGGUGCCGUAUCAUGUAUUAUUACAAGUAAUAAAUUUUUAUUAAGAUUUUUUGACUGGUGUAGUAACACUGUGAAAAAAGAAAUAUUUUCAUUUUUAAGGUAUUUAGAAAUAUAAUAUCUUAUGACCAUUUUACACUCUCUACUUUGCGAUACGUGCUUGUAUUAUUAGUCAUGGCGUCGUUUAUUCUUGACGAUUGACAUAAGCAAUCGCAAAAGCGUCUUUGGCUUUUAUACGAAGAAGUUAUAUCUUAAUAAGGCAACGCGCACAGGAAAAGGAUGGUCUUUCUCUUCCUACUUUUUAUACAUUCAGUAAUACGCGAAUUGAAAUAAUAUUAUUCAUCUGCGUGAUUAUUACUUUACGUAAAAAAAUAUGAAAAUUCACUUGUAAUAAAACACUCCUGUUGAUUCAUAUAUAUCGUGACUGACUGCAUUUGAAUUACGUAACUUAUAAUUAGUACAGAGCAUAGGAGCUAAUUGUAAUGUGCUCGAAGAAAUUAUCAACGCUCCAAAUGAUUAAUAAAUUAAUUAUACAUGCCACAUAUACAUGUACAUCUUUACACAGUUUACGUUUGUACUACAAAUGAAUAUUUUCACAGAACUGCCUGCAAAACUUGAUUUCAGUUUGAACUAUUGGACGUGGAAUCUAACAAGAUUUCUCAAGAUAUUUGCAUUAUAAUAAUAAUAAUAAUAAUAAUAAUAAUAAUAAUAAUAAUAAUAAUAAUAGGAUUUAUAUUACAUUUUUUAAGUAUAUAUGUUUCAGUAUGGUGUAAAUUUUAAAUAAAUAUGAAUUAUAUAUUGUAUUAUAUGCAUUCGAUAGACAAACAUAAUUCGCGUCUACAGUAUGCUCAAUCAUAAAAUGUAGGAGUGUUAAACAAUUCUGCAAUCUUUGAAUUUAAAUUUUCUAAUUACCGUUUACAUUUGUUUUUACUUAAAGUAAAGAGUAACAAAAUGAAUUAAGAAAUAAAAACUUUGUAGCAAUAAUAUAACUGUUGAGAUUAAUUUUCGAUUUUUUUUACAUAAAUGCGGUAAUGCUGUGCACUUAUUUAUUUAUUUGUAAACGCAUAUACGACGUGAUAAAGAAUACAAGGAAAGUGUGAUGUAUGUUCAUUUGUAAACACAUGCUUGCAAAGCUUCCUACUUAAAAAUUUGUGAAACUCUUUUUAAAGUAAAAAUAGUUGAUUUACAAAUGUUCUAAUAAUUUACAAUAUUCUAAAUAAUUAAGCGCAAUAAAAUGUAUUUUUAUUAAGUAGGUUUUAAAGAGGAGGACGUCCGGUAAGUGCAACGAAAGACUGUCUUUUGAAUGAGAACAAAUUCUAUAAUGUUGAAACGGAAAGAACGGCGAUCAGGGAGUGAGUUUGAAUGCGCGCGCGCGUGUGUGGAUAAAAGAGAGGGAAAAUUCUCUAUGAAUGAACUGCACGGUAUAGACAGUUAUUCACGAAUAACUGGAAAUCUAAUAUUAUAAGCAGUAAUACUAAUUACUACCUUAAUCAGAUUCGCAUAUUAAUUUUGUGCAAGAAAUUCUCAUUAUUCCCUUUGUUCUUUUCGGUUCCUUUGUGCUUACUUAUAUGUUCCAUCCAUUAUUUUUACUUGGAUCGUCUUGCACACUAUUUCCCAAAGAUGGUAGUGAUGAUUUCUUAAUAUUAUAAUAAUUAUUAUUGCUGUAGUUUAUGAUUGCAUUAUUGUUACGAUUGUAUCUAUCCGUAUGUCAUAAUGACCAUCAUCAUGCGGUGUAUUAAGAUUAUAAUUAUUAAGAUUACUACUAUCAUUAUUAUUAGCAAAGUUAAAUAUACAAACAAUUUGUAAUUAA